GUGCUUGCUUCAGCAGCACAUAUAUUAAAAUUGGAACGACACAGAGAAGAUUAACCUGGCCUCUGCGCAAGGAUGACAUGCAAAUUCAUGAAGUGUUCCAUAUUUAA